rnacentral:rRNA from 1 species
GAUCCUGGCUCAGAUUGAACGCUGGCGGCAUGCCUUACACAUGCAAGUCGAACGGCAGCGGACCUUCGGGUGCCGGCGAGUGGCGAACGGGUGAGUAAUAUAUCGGAACGUACCUUUCAGUGGGGGAUAACGUAGCGAAAGGUACGCUAAUACCGCAUAUUCUGUGAGCAGGAAAGCAGGGGAUCGCAAGACCUUGCGCUGAUUGAGCGGCCGAUAUCAGAUUAGCUAGUUGGUGAGGUAAAGGCUCACCAAGGCGACGAUCUGUAGCGGGUCUGAGAGGAUGAUCCGCCACACUGGAACUGAGACACGGUCCAGACUCCUACGGGAGGCAGCAGUGGGGAAUUUUGGACAAUGGGGGCAACCCUGAUCCAGCCAUGCCGCGUGAGUGAAGAAGGCCUUCGGGUUGUAAAGCUCUUUCGGCCGGGAAGAAAUCGUAUGGGUUAAUACCCUGUGCGGAUGACGGUACCGGCAUAAGAAGCACCGGCUAACUACGUG